rnacentral:rRNA from 1 species
GAUGAACGCUAGCGGCAGGCUUAAUACAUGCAAGUCGAGGGGCAGCAGGUCUGUAGCAAUACAGAUGCUGGCGACCGGCAAACGGGUGCGGAACACGUACAGAACCUUCCUUCGAAGCGGGGAAUAGCCCAGAGAAAUUUGGAUUAAUACCCCAUAGUACAUUGAAGAGGCAUCUCUUUAAUAUUAAAGAUUUAUCACUUGAAGAUGGCUGUGCGGCU